GAAAUAUUUGCUUCGUGGAUGCUGCCGGCAAUGGGUGAGGUGCUACUGGCAAUUUCCAGGUUGCCGCUGACCUUAAGGACGAUGCCAUUUAUUCUAAGCAGCCGUGGAGGUCGGAGAUCACCAUGAGAGGUAGAGCAAGCUAUUUUCAAUGGGUGGAAAAAACCCCCACGCCACUGUGCUGUCUCGCACUAAUAAACAGUGCCUCAUAUCAGAAGCCCACUUUAAUUAUGUAUACGUUACAAAUCAUUUGGCAGUUGUUAAUUAAUAUUUAAUUGUGAAGCUUUGUUGUUUCAUAUUAACAAGACAGUCAGAAUGAACAAUGGCAAAUAUUCCGACUUUGCAGAACAAGAAUAAAUAAGAAAUGACAGCGUGCUUUAAAUAAUGAAUGCGAUGAAUGAUGUCAUCCGUAUGUCGCUUUAUGUCACCAACACAUAUUGUCCUAAUUCUAAACAAAGGCGAUGAUGAAUGAGCCUGGUUGCUGCUGUUGUUGCUUUAAUAUACUAAUCAAUAUCAGUGAGGAUUAGUGAGCUGAAAGAUGUUUCCAUGACAACCUCAGUUAAACUUGAUUUAUUCGAGACACGCUCCUCAGAGGCCCGCUGAGACAACGGGUUGCUAUAAUGUGCGCAUGGCUCAUUAAGCUCAGGUAAUAAUGAACCAAUGGCAAGCUCAGGUUGUCUCUUCAAAUUCUUAUUUUCUGCAAGAAACACUAGAUGGCAGCGCAGGCCAAGCAAUGGCCGCCCACCGAGCAUCCACUUGGCAGAGUGAGAUAGAGUCCACCAGUUGUUCCUCCAGCACUUGUGCAGUUUCUGUCGGCAGCUGCCGCUGAGUUCGUUCACUUUCAGGCGUUAUUUGCCGAGGAAAGCCUACAAUACCCUCCAAGGUCAACAGAUCACCUGCGGACCCCCGAACCACGCCAGGACACCCAGUUUCUUCUGGAGGAGCGCUGAGCAGUUGGAGCUGAUUGAAGGACGCCAUGCAUUACUUCUGGAUAUACAGCGUUUGGAUCCCCUUCCUCGCUUUCCUCUUCGGAUUUCAAGUGUCCAUUCGGAUGGGCAGUGGGGAAGCAGUAGGGAUCCCACAGAGGGAACAAGGGAUUCAGUAGUGAGUGGCCAGGCUAGUCAAACAACUUGGAAGAGUCUCAAAGGCUUCGGCCAGGCAACUGGAGAACAAACGAGCAAGCAGUUACUCAGUAAGACACUUGAAAGCAACAAAUGUGACGAGGGAGGCCUAUUUAGCACCAUGAUAGUGACAAUGAUCCAACAGAGAGUAGCAGCACCAGCUGGGCCUUAAAUACCACGAGCAGAUUAGAUAAUAAAUAGCAGAGUAGGGAGAGAAAGCUCCGAAAAGGAAAACUCUGUGUGGAAAAAAGCCCCGACCCAUUUCUUCUCCACCUGAAAUUGAGACAGAAAGCGAGAGAAAAACAGGGAAAAGCCCCCGAGCCUGCCUGGACCAUAACAUGAAGUGCAUGUCCAUUUUGUACCAUUUGUAUCUUUUAAACUACGAAGGACCCAUUAUCCUUAGUGGACCAUUAAACCUCCACCCUUUAAUGACUCAGUUUUACUCCG
ensembl:lncRNA